UACAGAGACUGCAAGCGUUAUUCGGAUUCACUGGGCGUAAAGGGUGCGCAGGCGCCAAGUGUGUGAGGCGUGAAAGCCCGAUGCUUAAACAUCGGAAUUGCACCUCAAACUACAUGGCUAGAGCAUUGGAGAGGGUAGCGGAAUUCACGGUGUAGCAGUGAAAAUGCGUAGAUAUCGUGAGGGAACACCAGAGGCGAAAGGCGGCU
rnacentral:rRNA from 1 species